rnacentral:misc_RNA from 1 species
CAGCCACAAAAAUUCUCUCAUGCAUUCUUGAAGAUUAUGGACCUUCUUCUGUGCCAAUUUCUCAAGGAUGGUUAGCCAUUCUCCUAAAUGAAGUUCUGGCUUCCGUCAAGGCUUCAUCUAAUAACGGUGGCAUUCAGCCUAAAAGUGAUAAAGUGAAGACCCAAAUUGAUCAAUCCAACAUUCUGUUUGCUACACAGACUGUUAACCAACUAGCAGGUGCUGUUGUAAAUCUAGCAGGGAAUCAAGUGAGAGCGUCCACUGAUUCUGUUGAUACAUUCCCACUGGCAGAUCUUCUUUCCCUGGAACCUUUUGCUGGACCCUUUCAAAAUUUUAAGAAGGAUGCUAAUGCUAUGUCUAAAUUUAAUGUGGCGGAUUCUGCU